rnacentral:sRNA from 1 species
UCUCUUGUUCACUCAUCACCCUCUGUUCAAGGUCAUAUGACGUGACGUGUCAAUGCAUAUGUUUAAUUCUCGUCUUCUCAACCCUAAAUUCCAAGCUCUCAUUCAUGUUUUGUGUUUCCACUAUUUUAGAUUUCCAGCCACUUCCACCACCACCCACCUCUGGCGGUGAUUACGAUUACGAGCCUCACCUAUCGCCACCGGCGCUUCCGCCUGUGCCUGCUGCUGCUGGUGAUAGCGAUCCUCUCUCCGGCGAGUCCGUUCCCACGUCGCCGGCGGUGAUUGGGAAGCGGCAUCAUGGAUCUCCAGAAGCUCCGGUGAAGGACAACGGCGGCGUGUGGUGGUGUUCGGUGAGGGAGGAAGUGGAGGAGUGUAGAUUCUUUGUGAGUGUGAUUAACCAACUAACGGGCUACUCAUGGAAAUGUGUCCAAAGAGAAAAAGCCCAAGAGUGCAUGGUUUCGAUUCAGAAAGGAGAAGCAGAUUUGGUGAACUUAGAAGCAGGGCUUGCUUAUACUGCAUUCAUCAACCACUCAAUGAAAGCCAUAGCCAGUGAGAUGUACUGUGACCAUUCAAAAACCUAUGAAGCAGUUGCAGUGGUAAACAGAAGGGCAUGUGAGAGCAAAGAAAAGAUCAGUUUAAUGGAUUUCAAAGACCACAAGUCUUGUCAUGGAGGUUACUCCACAGCAGUUGGAUGGAACUACCCCAUCAAUUACAUUAAAAAUUUAAUUAACAGUGCAGAACAAGAUGGCAGGAAAAUUGCAACUAAUUUUUUCUCUGCUAUCUGUGCUCCAUCAGAGGUUGAAGGUCUUGAUAUAUGCAGUGCAUGCAGCAAAGAGAAUGAAACCUGCUCUGAAAGGGGUAAAUACUCUGGUCAUUCAGGAGCUUUUAGGUGCCUAGUAGAGGAAUUGGGAGACAUUGCUUUUGUCAAGAGUGAUACUGUAUUGCUC